GGAUUUACGUACAGAAUAACUUGAAAUGCUCUCUGAUCACUUUGGUCAUGUGGAGAAAAUCAAGAACCAGUCGCGUAGAGCUCUUCAAUGAGGAAGCGAACAUGGACAGUGAGCGGGAGAGUAUCGCUUUUAUACAGGGUAAAGUUUUGAGACUUUCGGAAACAAAAUCUCACAGAAUAAGUCAUUGAAUCAGAUCUACAUAUACAUCAAGUGUCCUCCAUUGGGUAUCAAAUACCGGUACCUCAUGGCAGCAUGACUCCAAGCAACGCACCUUACCCUCCUCAGAACAACUACGAGACUGGGAACUACCCAAAGGGUCCUGAGGGAGGCGAUAUGGGUACAGGGUUUCAACAGAACCACUGCCUCCUCAAUACACUGCUGUCAUCCCUUGAGAAUUGGCGCUCCGUGAAUACAUUGUUCUUUUUCUUGUUGAAAUUGUGUUCUCUGGGCUAUUUUUCUGCUCCAAGCCAGGCAACGGUUAGCACACAUUACUGAUCUGAAUAAU